GCUUCCUGAAAAACCCAAACUGCUGCAGUUGGAGCCAAGAGAGGUUUGAAAAGUUAGAGAUCAGACAGGGUUUGGAGCUGCCCAGCUCACCACUGGCAGGACAGACCACCUUCAACACAGGCAUUAAAUGACGGAAUUAAAAGGCAGGGAGAAUCCAUGGACCCAAGGAAGCAAACUGUGGAAGCAAGGGUAAUACUGCUUUGCUAUCACUCCCCUGGAUCCCAGAGAAAGAAUGUGCAUUUCAACUCCCACUUUCUGGCUCUUCAAGGUGUCAAUUUUGAAGGCACUUCCUAAUAAACAUCCUGGAUGCUAGCUAAACUGACUCAGAAGCUUCUUCCUGUAGGAUCAAAACUGUGAAGAUGCCCUGAGGCCCUCCAGUACUAGAGUGUUCUCUCUACUGAAAACAUUCAUUUAGAGCAUUCCAGAAGAAUCAUCUAAAUCAGGAAUUUAACAUUAGCAAGUUACGCUAUGAUCUCCAGACUCCACUGAAAGGGUCAAUGAUUACAAUAGUAUCCUUUGUGUUUGUGUGUUCAUGUGUGUGGGUGUGCAUGCACAUGUGUGCAUGGUUUUAUAAGUGUGUGUGUCUGUGUAUACAGAUCAGUAGACAGACUCAGGUGU